UGCAGAGUGAUGUGACAUCCUGUGUAAGUGGAGUCAAUCUAACCCAGUAUUAGGCUAGGCAAAGCUAUUAGGAAAGCUGUAUUGAAUGCACACCUAUAGGGGACACGGGUAGUGUCCCCAUUUAGUACUCAAGUAUAUCCUUGUUUUAUGUUGUUGCAAGAGCCCCUUUAGUCUCUAGUUGAGAUCAUUGCUUGUUUCUACUGUACAAGACCUGUUUUUCCACAGUCGCAGACCCAUCUAAGGAGCUGUUUGGUUCCGUUAGGAAAAGUUGUCCUUGAUAUUAGAGUGGACAUGAAUCAAUUCUUCCCCGAGGGAAAAGCUUUGUAAUGGGAAAAACAUAUUUCUUUAAUUAUUAGUGAUUUAUUUAGGAAUUGAUUCAUCAUCCUCCUCUAAUAUCUUUACACUGCUAUUGUAAGUGAUUGGAACUGUGAAAUGUGUUUCGUGUCUGUUGUGGACGAGUGUGGCAGUGUAGCCAGUCCCUUGUUUUGUUUUUCUCUCACUCGAGUAUGGGAGCGCUGCCCUGAAUCUUUCGUCUGCGUUUUGGUAACACUAGCAACACAUGUAAGAAUCACGAAUGCUCUCGAGUGUUAGGACGUCAACCGGUCCAUUCUUCAUUUUGGCUAUUUUACCAAAUUAAUGAUGCAAAUGAUUAUCUAUCCCUUGCGAGAGAGAAGAAACUCAAACACACACAAACAAAGGAAGAAUAAAACAAGCAAGGGAUCCGUCCUAAAGUAUGGUAUGGCAUCGUCUCGCUGACACCAGGCAUACACUGGUGGACACAUCCUUCCCAGCCUUUCCAGCGCUCAUUUGAACAAUUAUUUGCGUAUUAUAUAUGUAAUGUUUAUUGAUCUUACUCAAGAUUGCAGUUGUAAUCAGCACAAUAAAACAACAUUUUGUUACCCAUA